rnacentral:lncRNA from 1 species
UCGAUUCAUCAUCUUCUGUUCAUCUUCCGCUUCGAUCUCAUUUCACAAUGGUCACUCUUCGUCGUUCGACGCGACGAUCAGUCCGUCUUGGCGGAUCAGCUGCAAAAUCAGCUAAUCCAGCUCGCACAUCUUCAUCAAACACCGUUCGGGUGCAAUCACAUCCUGAUCCACCUAUUCCGGUGACAAUAUCGGCGAAUCCAACACCAACGCAAGCUCCGAUUCCAUCAUUUCCGAC